UUCUCUCAAUCACAUACUCACUCACUUUCGCAUAACACCCCUCAGUUUCGCUUCAACACUUCUUCAUUUUCUGGACUUCCAAAGAGCAAAUUCGAGUCCCGCUUUCAAGGAAACGACAUUGUGUUUACCUUUUUUUUUCCCUGGUUGGUUCCAAAUCGAUAUUCCCCUCCAAUUCUCCCUCUUCAUUGGAAAACUAGAUCUUCCCUCAAAUCAUUGACCAUCUAGCCACCGUGCCAGAGAUCUUGCUGCUACAUUGCACGCCGCCUCAAGCCAUGCCAGCAACUUCGCCGCGAAGCCACACAAGGGUCUGCAAACUUAGUUUGGUGGCUGUGUUAUCAUGGUAAGUCUUUUAUCAUGAGAAAACCCAUAUGAAGGAAGAUGGGUUAGGCUCAUACAAAGAAAAUUGAAAAUUCAAAGGCUGGUGCGAAGAUCUCUGAAUUUUGAAGAAUACAAUUAGAGGUCUUGUCUUUGAGGGGGUGGUGAUACGCUGGAUGAUUGGUAAUAUGCAGGGCUUAUUGAUGCAAUUACGGAAUUAACUUUAAAAGGGCCUUCUGCCAUUUCUGCUGUAUAAUUCUAUUCGAAAGAUUUUGAAUCACAUAGGUUACAAAUCUUGUGCAUACAAGUCCUUGUUGAGCGUUGUACAAGUUAGACUGAUGCUAAGGCUCCUCAUUGGUGUAACUGAACAUUUUGUUCCC